UAGCAUAUCAAUAAGCGGAGGAAAAGAAACCAACAGGGAUUGCCCUAGUAACGGCGAGUGAAGCGGCAACAGCUCAAAUUUGAAAUCUGGCUCUCGGGCCCGAGUUGUAAUUUGUAGAGGAUACUUUUGAUGCGGUGCCUUCCGAGUUCCCUGGAACGGGACGCCAUAGAGGGUGAGAGCCCCGUCUGGUUGGAUGCCAAAUCUCUGUAAAGUUCCUUCAACGAGUCGAGUAGUUUGGGAAUGCUGCUCUAAAUGGGAGGUAUAUGUCUUCUAAAGCUAAAUACCGGCCAGAGACCGAUAGCGCACAAGUAGAGUGAUCGAAAGAUGAAAAGCACUUUGAAAAGAGAGUUAAAAAGUACGUGAAAUUGUUGAAAGGGAAGCGUUUAUGACCAGACUUGGGCUUGGUUAAUCAUCUGGGGUUCUCCCCAGUGCACUUUUCCAGUCCAGGCCAGCAUCAGUUUUCCCCGGGGGAUAAAGGCGGCGGGAAUGUGGCUCUCUUCGGGGAGUGUUAUAGCCCACCGUGUAAUACCCUGGGGGGGACUGAGGUUCGCGCAUCUGCAAGGAUGCUGGCGUAAUGGUCAUCAACGACCCGUCUUGAAACACGGACCAAGGAGUCGUCUUCGUAUGCGAGUGUUCGGGUGUCAAACCCCUACGCGUAAUGAAAGUGAACGCAGGUGAGAGCUUCGGCGCAUCAUCGACCGAUCCUGAUGUUCUCGGAUGGAUUUGAGUAAGAGCAUACGGGGCCGGACCCGAAAGAAGGUGAACUAUGCCUGUAUAGGGUGAAGCCAGAGGAAACUCUGGUGGAGGCUCGCAGCGGUUCUGACGUGCAAAUCGAUCGUCAAAUAUGGGCAUGGGGGCGAAAGACUAA
rnacentral:rRNA from 1 species